rnacentral:rRNA from 1 species
GACGAACGCUGGCGGCGUGCCUAAUACAUGCAAGUCGAACGAGAGCGCCCGGUGCUUGCACUGGUCAAUCUAGUGGCGAACGGGUGAGUAACACGUGGGUAACCUGCUCAUCAGAGGGGGAUAACAUCCGGAAACGGAUGCUAAAACCGCAUAGGUCUUCGAGUCGCAUGGCUUGAAGAGGAAAAGAGGCGCAAGCUUCUGCUGAUGGAUGGACCCGCGGUGCAUUAGCUAGUUGGUGAGGUAACGGCUCACCAAGGCCGUGAUGCAUAGCCGACCUGAGAGGGGGAUCGGCCACAUUGGGACUGAGACACGGCCCAAACUCCUACGGGAGGCAGCAGUAGGGAAUCUUCCGCAAUGGACGCAAGUCUGACGGAGCAACGCCGCGUGAGUGAAGAAGGUUUUCGGAUCGUAAAACUCUGUUGUUAGAGAAGAACAAGUGCUAGAGUAACUGAUAGCGCCUUGACGGUAUCGAACCAGAAAGCCACGGCUAACUACGUG